rnacentral:rRNA from 1 species
UCGAACGGAAGUUAGAGCUUCGGUUUAACUUUAGUGGCGAACGGGUGAGUAACGCGUGAGGAACCUGCCCUUCAGAGGGGGACAACAGUUGGAAACGACUGCUAAUACCGCAUAAUGUAUUCGGAAGGCAUCUUCUGAAUACCAAAGGAGAAAUCCGCUGAGGGAUGGGCUCACGUCUGAUUAGUUAGUUGGUGAGGUAACGGCUCACCAAGACUGCGAUCAGUAGCCGGACUGAGAGGGUGAACGGCCACAUUGGGACUGAGACACGGCCCAGACUCC